rnacentral:rRNA from 1 species
UACGGAAGGGGCGAGCGUUGUUCGGAAUCAUUGGGCGUAAAGGGCGCGUAGGUGGUUCUGUAUGUCUACCGUGAAAGCGUACGGCUCAACCGUAUUUUGUCGGUAGAAACUGCAGGACUUGAGGCUGGGAGGGGCUGGUGGAAUUCCCGGUGUAGCGGUGAAAUGCGCAGAUAUCGGGAAGAACACCCGUGGCGAAGGCGGCUCUCUGGGACGGUACCGACGCUGAGACGCGAAAGCGUGGGGAGCGAACAGG